AUGCAAGUCGAGGGGCAGCGCGGUAGCAAUACUGGCGGCGACCGGCAAACGGGUGCGGAACACGUACACAAUCUGCCUCUGUCUGGGGCAUAGCCCGGAGAAAUCCGGAUUAACUCCCCAUAACAUGGAUGGGUGGCAUCACCUAAUCAUUAAAAAUUUAUUGGACAGAGAUGAGUGUGCGUCCCAUUAGCUAGUUGGUAGGGUAACGGCCUACCAAGGCAACGAUGGGUAGCUGGUGUGAGAGCACGACCAGCCACACGGGCACUGAGACACGGGCCCGACUCCUACGGGAGGCAGCAGUGAGGAAUAUUGGUNCAUGGGCGCAAGCCUGAACCAGCCAUGCCGCGUGAAGGAUGAAGGCCUUCUGGGUUGUAACUUCUUUUAUGAGGGAAGAAAACUACGGUUUCUACUGUAGGCGACGGUACCUUAGAAAUAGCACCGGCUAACUCGUG
rnacentral:rRNA from 1 species